rnacentral:rRNA from 1 species
UACGGAGGAUGCAAGCGUUAUCCGGAUUUAUUGGGUUUAAAGGGUCCGUAGGCGGGCUAAUAAGUCAGUGGUGAAAUCAAGCAGCUUAACUGUUUAACUGCCAUUGAUACUGUUAGUCUUGAGUGAAUUUGAAGUUGCCGGAAUAUGUAGUGUAGCGGUGAAAUGCAUAGAUAUUACAUAGAACACCUAUUGCGAAGGCAGGUAACUAAGAUUUAACUGACGCUGAUGGACGAAAGCGUGGGGAGCGAACAGG